CUACGGGUCGCAGCAGUGAGGAAUAUUGCGCAAUGGGCGAAAGCCUGACUCAGCGACGCCGCGUGGGGGAUGAAGGUCUUCGGAUUGUAAACCCCUUUCGGGAGGGAAGAUGGGACGAGCAAUCGUCCGGACGGUACCUCCAGAAGCAGCCACGGCUAACUUCGUGCCAGCAGCCGCGGUAAUACGAAGGUGGCAAGCGUUGUUCGGAUUUACUGGGCGUAAAGGGAGCGUAGGCGGUUUGGUAAGCCCUCCGGGAAAUCUUCGGGCUUAACCCGGAAAGGUCGGAGGGGACUGCCUGGCUAGAGGACGGGAGAGGAGCGCGGAAUUCCCGGUGUAGCGGUGAAAUGCGUAGAGAUCGGGAGGAAGGCCGGUGGCGAAGGCGGCGCUCUGGAACGUUCCUGACGCUGAGGCUCGAAAGCGUGGGGAGCAAACAGGAUUAGAUACCCCAGUAGUC
rnacentral:rRNA from 1 species